GUGGGUGGAGCUCAGGGGUAGAGCGUGUGUUUAACAUGCACUUGGUCCUGGGUUCAAUCCCCAGUACCUCCG
rnacentral:tRNA from 1 species